rnacentral:misc_RNA from 1 species
UCCGAGUUGACCCCGGCAGUCUCCUGCGAGUCCCCGCCAUUACGCGCUGGCAACACAGGACAAGGGUUGCGCUCGUUGCGGGACUUAACCCAACAUCUCACGACACGAGCUGACGACAGCCAUGCACCACCUGUGCAGGACGCCGAAGCACACCGUGUUUCUACGGCUUUUCCCGUGAUGUCAAGCCCAGGUAAGGUUCUUCGGGUUGCAUCGAAUUAAGCCGCAUGCUCCGCCGCUUGUGCGGGGACCCGUCAAUUCCUUUGAGUUUUAGCCUUGCGGCCGUACUCCCCAGGCGGGAUACUUAAUGCGUUAGCUUCGGCACGGCAGUCGUUGGUACAACCGCCACACCUAGUAUCCAACGUUUACAGCGUGGACUAC